rnacentral:lncRNA from 1 species
GACGUUCCUGAAGGGUAAUAACCUUUCUCCUCUCUAUCAAAUCGCUGCAAUUUCUUGUCAUUUUAACCUAGUUUGCUGGUUUGGGAUGGGGAGGAGGCGAACAGAUGGCUUUGUGAAGGGUACAAUGGUCACAGUUAACUUGGAGAUAACAGAAAAUGGUAAACAUCCAAGAAGUGUUAUCUUUUAAUGGUAUAUUUCAAUAGUUCAAUCUUUUGAUUUAAUGGUAGAUAUCCAAUUUUGCCAUUCUUUUUUAUGUAAUAGGAGGGGUGUGACCCUACAAUGGUCACAGUUAACUUGGAGAUAACAGAAAAUGGUAAACAUCCAAGAAGUGUUAUCUUUUAAUGGUAUAUUUCAAUAGUUCAAUCUUUU